CCUACGGGGUGCAGCAGUGAGGAAUAUUGGUCAAUGGACGAGAGUCUGAACCAGCCAAGUAGCGUGAAGGAUGACUGCCCUAUGGGUUGUAAACUUCUUUUAUAUGGGAAUAAAAUGUUCCACGUGUGGGAUUUUGUAUGUACCAUAUGAAUAAGGAUCGGCUAACUCCGUGCCAGCAGCCGCGGUAAUACGGAGGAUCCGAGCGUUAUCCGGAUUUAUUGGGUUUAAAGGGAGCGUAGGUGGAUUGUUAAGUCAGUUGUGAAAGUUUGCGGCUCAACCGUAAAAUUGCAGUUGAAACUGGCAGUCUUGAGUACAGUAGAGGUGGGCGGAAGUCGUGGUGUAGCGGUGAAAUGCUUAGAUAUCACGAAGAACUCCGAUUGCGAAGGCAGUUCACUGGACUGCAACUGACACUGAGGCUCGAAAGUGUGGGUAUCAAACAGGAUUAGAUACCCUAGUAGUC
rnacentral:rRNA from 1 species